rnacentral:rRNA from 1 species
CGCUGGCGGCAUGCCUAAUCAUGCAAGUCGAGCGGACUUGAUGAGAAGCUUGCUUCUCUGAUGGUUAGCGGCGGACGGGUGAGUAACACGUAGGCAACCUGCCCUCAAGCUUGGGACAACUACCGGAAACGGUAGCUAAUACCGAAUACUUGCUUUCUUCGCCUGAAGGNAGCUGGAAAGACGGAGCAAUCUGUCACUUGAGGAUGGGCCUGCGGCGCAUUAGCUAGUUGGUGAGGUAACGGCUCACCAAGGCGACGAUGCGUAGCCGACCUGAGAGGGUGAUCGGCCACACUGGGACUGAGACACGGCCCAGACUCCUACGGGAGGCAGCAGUAGGGAAUCUUCCGCAAUGGGCGAAAGCCUGACGGAGCAAUGCCGCGUGAGUGAUGAAGGUUUUCGGAUCGUAAAGCUCUGUUGCCAGGGAAGAACGUCCUUGAGAGUAACUGCUCAAGGAGUGACGGUACCUGAGAAGAAAGCCCCGGCUAACUACGUGCCAGCAGCCGCGGUAAUCGUAGGGGGCAAGCGUUGUCCGGAAUUAUUGGGCGUAAAGCGCGCGCAGGCGGUCAUUUAAGUCUGGUGUUUAAUCCCGGGGCUUAACCCCGAUCGCACUGGAAACUGGGUGACUUGAGUGCAGAAAAGGAGAGUGGAAUUCCCGUGUAGCGGUGAAAUGCGUANAGAUGUUGAGGNACACCCUUGGNCAANGCACUNUNUGGGUUGUACUGACCUUNAGCCCNAAACNUGGGAGCAAACAGGAUUAGNNCCCUGGUAGUCC